GAUGAAGAACGUAGCGAAAUGCGAAAAGUAGUGUGAAUUGCAGAAUUCAGUGAAUCAUCGAAUCUUUGAACGCACAUUGCGCCCGGUAGUAUUCUGCCGGGCAUGCCUGUUCGAGCGUCAUUUCAACCAUCAAGCCCCAGCGCUUGUGUUGGGGGCCUGCGGCUGCCGCAGCCCCCUAAAAGCAGUGGCGGGCUCGCUAUCACACCGAGUGCAGUAGUUCAUCUUCUCUCCGGUCUUGUGAGGCGGGUUCCGGCCGUGAAACACCCCACUACAUUCAAGGUUGACCUCGGAUCAGGUAGGAAUACCCGCUGAACUUAAGCAUAUCAAUAAGCGGAGGA
rnacentral:misc_RNA from 1 species